UGUGGUCAAGUUAAUAAGGGCGCACGGUGGAUGCCUUGGCACUAGGAGCCGAUGAAGGACGUAGGAGGCUGCGAUAAGCCUCGGGGAGCUGUCAACCGAGCUGUGAUCCGAGGAUUUCCGAAUGGGGAAACCCGGCAGGAGUCAUGUCCUGUCACCCAUACCUGAACACAUAGGGUAUGUGGAGGGAACGUGGGGAAGUGAAACAUCUCAGUACCCACAGGAAGAGAAAGCAACCGCGAUUCCGAGAGUAGUGGCGAGCGAAAUCGGAAGAGGCCAAACCAGGUACGCGUGAUAGCCGGCAGGCGUUGCGUAUCUGGGGUUGUGGGGCCGUUCUGAUGGUUCUGCCGAAUCAUCGAGGAGUAAGAAAAUCAUGUGUUAGUCGAAGGACUUGGGAAGGUCCGGCGUAGAGGGUGAUACCCCCGUAGACGAAAACAUGUGAUCUCCUGAGCGUUACCCCAAGUAGCAGCGAGCACGUGAAAUUCGCUGUGAAUCUGGCGGGACCACCCGCUAAGCCUAAAUACUACCUAGUGACCGAUAGCGGACAAGUACCGUGAGGGAAAGGUGAAAAGUACCCCGGGAGGGGAGUGAAAUAGUACCUGAAACCGCGCGCCUACAAGCCGUUGGAGCGUCGCCAUGUCGUUGGACAUGGUCGUGACAGCGUGCCUUUUGAAGAAUGAGCCUGCGAGUUAGCGUUAUGUGGCGAGGUUAACCCGUGUGGGGUAGCCGUAGCGAAAGCGAGUCUGAAUAGGGCGAAUGAGUCGCAUGAUCUAGACCCGAAGCGAAGUGAUCUACCCAUGGCCAGGUUGAAGCGCAGGUAAGACUGCGUGGAGGACCGAACCCACUUCAGUUGAAAAUGGAGGGGAUGAGCUGUGGGUAGGGGUGAAAGGCCAAUCAAACUUCGUGAUAGCUGGUUCUCCCCGAAAUGCAUAUAGGUGCAGCGUCGCGUGUUUCUUACCGGAGGUAGAGCUACUGGAUGGUCUAGGGGGCCUACAAGCUUACCGAAAUCAGCCAAACUCCGAAUGCCGGUAAGUGAGAGCGCGGCAGUGAGACUGUGGGCGAUAAGGUUCAUGGUCGAGAGGGAAACAACCCAGAACACCAGCUAAGGCCCCUAAGCGUGUGCUAAGUGGGAAAGGAUGUGGAGUCGCAUAGACAACCAGGAGGUUGGCUUAGAAGCAGCCACCCUUUAAAGAGUGCGUAAUAGCUCACUGGUCAAGUGAUUCUGCGCCGACAAUGUAGCGGGGCUCAAGCACACCGCCGAAGCUGUGUCAUUCACGCAAUAGCCUGUCGGUUACCUACGGGUGGCCGGCCAGGUGUGUGGAUGGGUAGGGGAGCGUCGUGUGCCGGAGGAAGCGGCGGGGGAACCCAGCCGUGGACGGCACACGAGUGAGAAUGCAGGCAUGAGUAGCGAAAGAAGAGUGAGAAACUCUUCCGCCGAAUGACCAAGGGUUCCUGGGCCAGGCUAAUCCGCCCAGGGUAAGUCGGGACCUAAGGCGAGGCCGACAGGCGUAGUCGAUGGACAACGGGUUGAUAUUCCCGUACCCGCAAAAGAGCGCCAAUACCGAACCCGGUAAUGCUAAGCGCCUGAUGCUGUGAUGACCUUCGGGUCGGAUCGGUGGAACGCGUGACCCGAACCGGUAGUAGGUAAGCGAUGGGAUGACGCAGGAAGGUAGUCGUACCGGUCAGUGGUAAUACCGGGGCAAGGACGUAGGGCGUGACAUAGGUAAAUCCGUGUCACAUAUAGCCUGAGAUCUGACGCAUAGCCGAUUGGGGCGAAUUCGAUGAUCCUAUGCUGCCAAGAAAACUCUCUAGCGAGCUCUUCGCGGCCCGUACCCCAAACCGACACAGGUGGUCAGGUAGAGAAUACUAAGGCGAUCGAGUGAACCAUGGUUAAGGAACUCGGCAAAAUACCCCCGUAACUUCGGGAGAAGGGGGGCCAAAGCGCGUGAUAGCACUUGCUGCUGGAGCGUGAGUUGGCCGCAGAGACUAGCGAGAAGCGACUGUUUACUAAAAACACAGGUCCGUGCGAAGUCGCAAGACGAUGUAUACGGACUGACGCCUGCCCGGUGCUGGAAGGUUAAGAGGACGGGUCAGCCCUUUAGGGCGAAGCUCAGAAUUUAAGCCCCAGUAAACGGCGGUGGUAACUAUAACCAUCCUAAGGUAGCGAAAUUCCUUGUCGGGUAAGUUCCGACCUGCACGAAUGGCGUAACGACUUCUCGACUGUCUCAACCAUGGACUCGGCGAAAUUGCACUACGAGUAAAGAUGCUCGUUACGCGCGGCAGGACGGAAAGACCCCGGGACCUUUACUAUAGUUUGAUAUUGGUGUUCGGUUCGGAUUGUGUAGGAUAGGUGGGAGACUGUGAAGCUCACACGCCAGUGUGGGUGGAGUCAACGUUGAAAUACCACUCUGUUCGAAUUGGAUGUCUAACCUCGGUCCGUAAUCCGGAUCAGGGACAGUGUCUGAUGGGUAGUUUGACUGGGGCGGUCGCCUCCCAAAAAGUAACGGAGGCGCCCAAAGGUUCCCUCAGCCUGGUUGGCAAUCAGGUGUUGAGUGCAAGUGCACAAGGGAGCUUGACUGUGAGACAGACAUGUCGAGCAGGAGCGAAAGCUGGGACUAGUGAUCCGGCACCGGCUAGUGGAAGCGGUGUCGCUCAACGGAUAAAAGGUACCCCGGGGAUAACAGGCUGAUCUUCCCCAAGAGUCCAUAUCGACGGGAUGGUUUGGCACCUCGAUGUCGGCUCGUCGCAUCCUGGGGCUGGAGUCGGUCCCAAGGGUUGGGCUGUUCGCCCAUUAAAGCGGCACGCGAGCUGGGUUUAGAACGUCGUGAGACAGUUCGGUCCCUAUCCGCCGCGCGCGCAGGAGAUUUGAGAAGGGCUGUCCUUAGUACGAGAGGACCGGGACGGACGAACCUCUGGUGUGCCAGUUGUUCCACCAGGAGCACUGCUGGUUAGCUACGUUCGGAAGGGAUAACCGCUGAAAGCAUCUAAGCGGGAAGCCUGCUUCAAGAUAAGAUCUCCCAUCCGUAAUGGAGUAAGGCCCCCGGCUAGACCACCGGGUUGAUAGGCCAGAAGUGGAAGCACGGCAACGUGUGCAGCUGACUGGUACUAAUAGGCCGAGGACUUCACC
rnacentral:rRNA from 1 species